rnacentral:misc_RNA from 1 species
AAAGUCGUAACAAGGUUUCCGUAGGUGAACCUGCGGAAGGAUCAUUACAGUGGGACUUGCGGGCCUUUGCUGGCCCGGAAAAAAACACAACCCCGAGGUCGAUAUACGGCGCCCCCCCACCGGUCGUGCUGCCCAAUUCGAAAGGGUGCGAGAGGGUCCCCCCACCCUCUUCGCGCCCCUCGAAACCUCCCUCCGUCCCGUUGUGGCUGCCUCUGGAGCCGCGCGUGGGCUCGCAAGUCCAAAUCCCUCCCCUCCUUGUCUAUGAGCACCGUUUUGUUUCCUCGGCGAGUUCGCUCGUCGGUGGACCCCCUUCAAACUACUGUUGAAAAUCCAUGUUGUCUGAGCGAUACAAAGCAAAUAUUAUUAAAACUUUCAACAACGGAUCUCUUGGUUCCG